UCUUAAUCACUAGACUGCAAGGCAAGUCCCUUUCCCUUUUUAAAAAUACUUGCCUUAUAUUUUGGAUUUCCUUUGUUUUAUUCAUAUCUGUACUUUCUCCCCUCAUCCCUUAACUUUCCUUCUUCCCAGCUGAUAAUCAGUUGGUUCCAUUUUUGUCUCCAAGAGGCUCCUUCCUGGAACCCAGGCUCACCGAUUGUGGCUAAACUUCGUUCCCCUCUGCCAGCAGGUGCCAUAAAUUUGUCCUUGGACUUCCCCUCACCACCACCCUGGAAAUUCCCUUUGCUCCUCUAAGCCCGCCUUCCUGGGACUUCCUCUUCCUCGUUCUUGGCUAUUCAGGUUCCUCCCUCCCCUUCGUGGACCACAUCUUCCAGCAGCUUCCUGAGAAAGUAUACAGAGCCAGCUGAAAGAUGUCCUGUAAUUUCUGUGACCAGAGAAGACAUUCAGCCAUGCUGUCCCUAGGCCAAGAUGAACUAAGCCUGCGCCCCCAGAGAGCUGAGAUAUGAUCUCAUAAUUGCAUGGAAUUACACCUGAGAUAUCAGAUGUCCUGUGCUUAACUUCUACGUGCUCUGCUGGAGGGAAGCUAAGAUCCUUCAUUCUUUUCAGACAACUGGUUCUUCAAAGACGCUGACAAACCAGAUAGUCCAGAACUGCACACUCUGGAGCUAACUCCACGAGCAGCUGAGACCAGGAUGGAUGGAUUCUUGGAUACAGAUAGGGAAGUAGAGAGAGGAAUGGAGAGGCUGCUGAACCAGGAGCACUUGCGCAAAGUAAACAUGAAUUCUGAUGUGAUGAUAGAUAACACAGUACUUUAAAGGUGCAACGAAGGAAACGGAAGCUAAAAGCUUGCAAGUGGCCUUCCUGACCUCCCUCAUGUGUCUCCCCUUUCCUUUCCUUUUUUUUUUCUCCCUUUUUCCUUCUCUUAGCAUCUUGUCCCUUUCUCAAUAAUUAAGUCUGUAAUUCAUGAAGGUCAAUAGAGCAAAGGAGGUGUGUGUGAGGAGAGGUGGCCCAGAGAGGGGACUCAGAGCUCAGGAUUCUGUGCAUAUUCUAGGUCCAGAUGGGGUGUCAGAGCCAAUAGAGGGAGGAAGUCCACAUGGGGGAGGAGGGGUGGAGACUGAUUCUAUACAGGGCAUGGAUCAAAUAAGUAAAUAUACUUAGAAAAAUGGGAUCUAGGUUUCUCACUGUAAGAGAAAGGAAUUGCAAAUAUGGAAAUAGACAAGAUGAGAAAGAGCCCUGUGAUAUUGGGUUGAAAUUGAAGGUGUUGGUGUGAACUCAAAGGUGUCAAUAAAAAUACACAUAGAAAUGAA